rnacentral:tRNA from 1 species
AGUAAGGUGGCUGAGCUAAGCGGUGGACUGUAAAUCCUCUCACGGAUUUCCCCUUACUG